rnacentral:rRNA from 1 species
ACUCCUACGGGAGGCAGCAGUGGGGAAUAUUGGACAAUGGGCGCAAGCCUGAUCCAGCCAUGCCGCGUGAGUGAUGAAGGCCCUAGGGUUGUAAAGCUCUUUCACCGGUGAAGAUAAUGACGGUAACCGGAGAAGAAUCCCCGGCUAACUUCGUGCCAGCAGCCGCGGUAAUACGAAGGGGGCUAGCGUUGUUCGGAUUUACUGGGCGUAAAGCGCACGUAGGCGGACUAUUAAGUCAGGGGUGAAAUCCCGGGGCUCAACCCCGGAACUGCCUUUGAUACUGGUAGUCUUGAGUUCGAGAGAGGUGAGUGGAAUUCCGAGUGUAGAGGUGAAAUUCGUAGAUAUUCGGAGGAACACCAGUGGCGAAGGCGGCUCACUGGCUCGAUACUGACGCUGAGGUGCGAAAGCGUGGGGAGCAAACAGGAUUAGAAACCCGAGUAGUCCCAUGAU